GGAAGUGCUGCUGACUGCGGAAGCCCCACAGUGGAGAGGCUGCGCUCAGUCAUGUGAGUAGAUUCAAAAGAGUUUACUGUCAUAUAUAUGGUGUGUGAGUGUGUGUCUGUGUGUGAGUGUGUG